UAACUUUUUCUAUGUUGUACUGUUAUAAGAACUAGGAAUUUUUAACCUUACCUCUCAAGCUACUCCUAAUUUUCUUUCAUUAUAUUUGCUCUUGUGAUCUAUAUUUUGCUUCAAUGAAUCCUCCCACCAGUCCAUUACUGUUUUCCUUUUUAUUCUCAUAGCAAAACCUAUGUUAAGUGAUUUUUUUUUUGUACUGGGGAUCGAACUCAGGUCCUUGCACUUGCACAGCAGGCGGCGAAACCACUGAGCUAAAUCCCUGGCCCCUGUUAAGUGAUUUUUUUCAAGGAAGCUGAUUGUAAGAUGUUGGAUCUAAUCCAGUCUCUAGCAUUGGUAAAUAGUGGUUAAACCGAAAUGAAAGCCAAUUAACUUCAUAACUGUUGCCUGCUUUCAUGUUGCUCUUCUUUGCUUUCCCUUCCCCUCUUUUCUUUUUUACUGAGCACUGCUGUAUGCGACCACACGUCAGGCCAACUCCUGGACAGACAGUGGACGUAGCACACGGUCUCUGCUCCCAUGAGCCCAACAGCUGGAUUGCGGACAUAGCAGAAACAAAAAAAUAAGAAAGACAAAAAAGGGAAAAGAAAACUCUGUGUCCCUAAACAUCACAGGAAAACCUCGUGAGAAGAUAUUUUAGAUCUACAAUGAGCCCCAAAUGUAAAGGUGACUAGAUCACGGAGGCGCUGUACUCAUUAGUGGCUUCACCAUGGAUGAGUUCAUAGCUAAAUGUGCUGUUAGGAAAUGGACCCGGUUGGAAGAGGUGGACUGCUCAGAGACACAUUUCAUGAGGCUCCUCAGAAGUACUGAGCAACGUAGGUCCAAGACUGUGGCCAAUACAUACCCUUCUGUCAACUUCUCUCCCUUCCUUGCCUCAUUUCUCUUAUGUUUCUUUCACUUCUGAGCUUUGAGACCAUUUCCUAAAAAACUGCUUAUAAGUAGGGCUUUUUUCUAAGUUUUACUUCAGGAAACAUUCACAGUGAC
rnacentral:lncRNA from 1 species